rnacentral:rRNA from 1 species
UACGUAGGGGGCAAGCGUUGUCCGGAUUCAUUGGGCGUAAAGAGCUCGUAGGCGGCUUGGCAAGUCGGGUGUGAAAACUCCAGGCUCAACCUGGAGACGCCACCCGAUACUGCCAUGGCUAGAGUCCGGUAGGGGACCGCGGAAUUCCUGGUGUAGCGGUGAAAUGCGCAGAUAUCAGGAGGAACACCGGUGGCGAAGGCGGUGGUCUGGGCCGGAACUGACGCUGAGGAGCGAAAGCGUGGGGAGCGAACAGG